rnacentral:rRNA from 1 species
GACGAACGCUGGCGGCGUGCUUAACACAUGCAAGUCGAACGGAAAGGCCCUGCUUUUGUGGGGUGCUCGAGUGGCGAACGGGUGAGUAACACGUGAGUAACCUGCCCUUGACUUUGGGAUAACUUCAGGAAACUGGGGCUAAUACCGUAUAGGAUCUCCUGCUGCAUGGUGGGGGUUGGAACGUUUCGGCGGUUGGGGAUGGACUCGCGGCUUAUCAGCUUGUUGGUGGGGUAGUGGCUUACCAAGGCUUUGACGGGUCGCCGGCCUGAGAGGGUGACCGGCCACAUUGGGACUGAGAGACGGCCCAGACGCCUACGGGAGGCAGCAGUGGGGAAUAUGGCACAAUGGGCGGAAGCCUGAUGCAGCAACGCCGCGGGCGGGAUGACGGCCUUCGGGUUGUAAACCGCUGUCGCCUGUGACGAAGCGUGAGUGACGGUAAUGGGUAAAGAAGCACCGGCUAACUACGUG